UACGUAGGUGGCAAGCGUUGUCCGGAUUUACUGGGCGUAAAGAGCGCGCAGGCGGUCGUUCAAGUCGCGUGUGAAAGCCCCCGGCUCAACUGGGGAGGGUCACGCGAUACUGAUCGACUCGAAGGCAGGAGAGGGAAGUGGAAUUCCCGGUGGAGCGGUGAAAUGCGUAGAUAUCGGGAGGAACGCCGGUGGCGAAAGCGACUGUCUGGGGUGCCUGUGACGCUGAGGCGCGAAAGCCAGGGGAUCAAACGGG
rnacentral:rRNA from 1 species